GACGAACGCUGGCGGCGUGCCUAAUACAUGCAAGUAGAACGCUGAAGAGAGGAGCUUGCUCUUCUUGGAUGAGUUGCGAACGGGUGAGUAACGCGUAGGUAACCUGCCUUGUAGCGGGGGAUAACUAUUGGAAACGAUAGCUAAUACCGCAUAACAAUGGAUGACACAUGUCAUUUAUUUGAAAGGGGCAAUUGCUCCACUACAAGAUGGACCUGCGUUGUAUUAGCUAGUAGGUGAGGUAAUGGCUCACCUAGGCGACGAUACAUAGCCGACCUGAGAGGGUGAUCGGCCACACUGGGACUGAGACACGGCCCAGACUCCUACGGGAGGCAGCAGUAGGGAAUCUUCGGCAAUGGGGGCAACCCUGACCGAGCAACGCCGCGGGAGUGAAGAAGGUUUUCGGAUCGUAAAGCUCCGUUGUAAGUCAAGAACGGGUGUGGGAGUGGAAAGUUCACACUGUGACGGUAGCUUACCAGAAAGGGACGGCUAACUACGUG
rnacentral:rRNA from 1 species